rnacentral:lncRNA from 1 species
UGUGACGAACUCCUAGACUCCGCCGGCGUCACGCCAAGCUAAUCCGGAAUUCGCUAGGGGAUUUGGAUUGAAUUAGAGAGGAAGGGGAUGAACUAAGAGAGAGAGAGAGAGAGGUAGUUCGAUUGUAUUUGAUUUCUUCUCAUCGAUACCUGCUCAUCGGCAGGGAGUUUCCCUUUUAACGGGUACAAGGCACACGCACUCGACGCGACCGCCAGCCCAGCACGGCACGUCGAAAACACACACACACAAUCCAGUCCAAGGCCCACAACAAGCCAGGCCCAAACACACUGUUACACUCAAUACAGGGAAUGGCAACAACUGACAAGCUACAGCAAACACAACUCAUAACAAUUUCCCCCGCUUAAGAAGAGGCUUGUCCCCAAGCCGGAGAAGAUGGGAAACGAAAUUGCAGCUGUCGUAGAUUCUCCCAUUUAGCAAGAGCGGCAGGCAAACCAGUCCAACGGACUAAUCCAUUGGGCACAGCUGAUUUACCUCGCUUGAUGAGUUGGCGGUGCAAAAUUUCUUCAGGAAUAACUGCUGCAUCUUCUGCCAUGCAAUUUGCUGGAAGAUCGGCUUGAACUUGGACAUCAGGACGAAUUGCCUUCUUGAGAAGAGACACAUGGACUACUGGAUGAACUUGAUUUUGUGGGGGCAAGUCUAAUUUGUAUGCCACCUCUCCAAUGCGCUCCAAAAUCUUGUAUGGACCAAAGUACCUUAAACACAAUUUCUGACAACUACGUUAGCAACUGACAUCUGAACAUAUGGUUGUAAUUUCAAAUAAACCAUAUCCCCAAAAUUGAAAACUCUUCAUUACUGCCUUCUGAUUCACAAUCUUGCCCAGCUUCCUGAUUCUCUUGAAUUUGAAGAACUUCAAGUAAUUCCUCCAAGACAUGCAACUGAACAGAUUUUUAGCAUUUAUGGCCAGGUCCCCACUUUUCUCCACAUUUGAAACAUUCUCCUUUAGCUCUCCUGGAAGCCUUCAAGGACUCAAAUCUGUCCUCCCAUUUUGGUUUCUCUUCAGUUUUUCCAGCAUCAUCAGGAGCAUGCCCCAAUAUUCCCUUGCCGCUGACUUGUAAUUCUGUUUGUACCCCAGCUUUUGAGUACCCUUCUUCAACUCCAAGACAAGUUCCUCCUGCGUUUUGGCAAGAGAUAAAGCCGUAUCAACAGUCCUGGGCCUAUGCAGCUUGAUAGCUGCUUUGAUUUCAGUUUUUAGACCCCCAACAAACUUUGUGACAAAAUAGGUUUCAUCAUAGGCCUGAUUAUAAACUGUCCCUAUGCAUUAAUUCCUCAAACUUGGUAUAAUACUCCUCAACACCAACAAUUAGCCUAAGCCCUUCUAACUCUUCUAAAUGUUCCUGAUAUUUGUCCUUGCCAAAUUUGCUAUGCACUGCUAUACAGAGUUCAGGCCAAGUUUCAACACUAUGGAGGGCCUCAUUGGUUUGGAGCCACAAGGCAGCAUUUCCUACAAAGUGGAGGGUAGAAAAUUUUGCCCAAUUUUCAUAAGACACUUGAUACAUUUCAAAAUACUUUUCAGAGUUCUUCUUCCAGAGCUUAGGAUUGUCACCAUCAAACUUUGGGAAAUCAGACUUUGGAAGCCUAGGACCAUGGAAUCUAUUGCUGGAUUGAUUCUGAACUGAAGACUCUCCUAUAUCAAAAGUGAUGGGAGAGUUAGGGAAUCGGGACUUACCCUUGACCAGGAAUCGAUCCUGAGCCGCGAGGGCUUUGGAUUCGUCUCCCUGGUGAUUCUCGGUUUCGCCGUGCCCGAUGGGCGUUGGGGUCGUCAUCCCCGAUGCCGCUGCAGGUGAGUUCUCCAGAACCGUCACCCUUGCGGCAAUUCCUUCCACGGCCUUGUUCAGAGCUUGGAUCCCCGUGUCCACCGAUGGAAUCCACGUCUCCAGCUUGGUCAGUGACCCCAGGAGGUCGUUGAGGUUGCUUGCGAGCUCCCCAACUCGCUGAUUCAGAUCGACGAGCUCUGCCUUCACAGCAACCAUCCUCUCCGUGAGAUUUGGCCCCUUCUUCAUCGCCAGCGGAAUCAGAUUGUGACGAACUCCUAGACUCCACCGGCGUCACGCCAAGCUAAUCCAGAAUUCGCUAGGGGAUUUGGAUUGAAUUAGAGAGGAAGGGGAUGACCUGAGAGAGAGAGAGAGAGAGAGAGAGAGGUAGUUCGAUUGUAUUUGAUUUCUUCUCAUCGAUACUUGCUCAUCGGCAGGGAGUUUCCCUUUUAACGGGUACAAG